GAUGAACGCUGGCGGCGUGCCUAAUACAUGCCAGUCGAGCGAACAGACGAGGAGCUUGCUCCUCUGACGUUAGCGGCGGACGGGUGAGUAACACGUGGAUAACCUACCUAUAAGACUGGGAUAACUUCGGGAAACCGGAGCUAAUACCGGAUAAUAUAUUGAACCGCAUGGUUCAAUAGUGAAAGACGGUUUUGCUGUCACUUAUAGAUGUAUCCGCGCCGCAUUAGCUAGUUGGUAAGGUAACGGCUUACCAAGGCGACGAUGCGUAGCCGACCUGAGAGGGUGAUCGGCCACACUGGAACUGAGACACGGUCCAGACUCCUACGGGAGGCAGCAGUAGGGAAUCUUCCGCAAUGGGCGAAAGCCUGACGGAGCAACGCCGCGUGAGUGAUGAAGGUCUUCGGAUCGUAAAACUCUGUUAUUAGGGAAGAACAAAUGUGUAAGUAACUAUGCACGUCUUGACGGUACCUAAGCAGAAAGCCACGGCUAACUACGU
rnacentral:rRNA from 1 species